GGCAUGGAUUAGGCAUGCAAGUCGAACGAAGCAGUAGGGCAACCUGUUGCUUAGUGGCGGAAGGGUUAGUAAUACAUGAACAACCUGCCUUUAACCUGGGGAUACCGGCUGGAAACGGUCGUUAAUACCGAAUGAGGUGGAGAGUACGAGUGUACAUUCCAUCAAAGUAGGGGACCUUGAAAGGGGCCUUACGGUUAAUGAGGGGUUCAUGGGAUAUCAGCUUGUUGGUGUGGUAACGGCGCACCAAGGCUAAGACGUCUAGGCGGAUUGAGAGAUUGACCGCCAACAUUGGGACUGAGACACUGCCCAGACUCCUACGGGAGGCUGCAGUCGAGGAUCUUUCGCAAUGGGCGCAAGCCUGACGAAGCGACGCUGUGUGGACGAUGAAGGCCCUUGGGUUGUAAAGUCCUUUCGCGUAAGAACAAGAGAAGCCGUCCAAUAAACGGCUGAUUUGAGGGUACUACGUAAAGAAGCACCGGCUAACUCCGUGCCAGCAGCUGCGGUAAUACGGAGGGUGCAAGCAUUAAUCGGAUUUACUGGGCGUAAAGGGCGCGUAGGCGGGUUGACAAGUCAAAUGUGAAAUUCCGGAGCUCAACUUCGGAGCUGCAUUUGAAACUGUUAGUCUAUAGAGGGAUGGCGGAGAAAAUGGAAUUCCACAUGUAGCGGUGAAAUGCGUAGAUAUGUGGAAGAACACCAGUGGCGAAAGCGGUUUUCUAGCUAUUACCUGACGCUGAGGCGCGAGAGCAUGGGGAGCAAACAGGAUUAGAUACCCUGGUAGUCCAUGCCGUAAACGAUGUAUACUUGAUGUAGCUGGGCUCAACCCUAGCUGUGUCGAAGCUAACGCGAUAAGUAUACCGCCUGAGGAGUACGCUCGCAAGAGUGAAACUCAAAAGAAUUGACGGGGGCUCACACAAGCGGUGG
rnacentral:rRNA from 1 species